UGAAAGAUGGAGAGCGAUAAGAAUAUGUCAAUACACACAAUCCAAUAAAAAUAUGUCAUCAAACAACAUGACAACUCCUCCAUUUGAAGGUAAGAAAGAUGGCAAACGUUACCUAAUAUAAGCAGCACUUCUAUUGGUUAGAACAACAGGGUCAAGAGGCUUAACAGAAUUGGCUUUUGAAUAAUUGCUAAUCGCCUGGAACAAAAAAAAAAGAUAUGUUACUGGCAAGAACAUAUUUGAGAGUUUAAUUUGGGUUUCAGCCUCAGUAAGAGACUACCAAAUCAGUUCAGGCAAGAAGAAGAAAAUUAGUUAACCUCUUCAAAGCGAUGAGAUUCUUUGAAAGCUUCGUUUCCCUUCUCUACAAGUUGAAAAACUUGAUUGUGGAUGUCCAAAGGCAACGAAUUGUCAGCUUCACUGACCUGGACAAUCAAGAACAAAACAUUAAUGCAUGAACACAAAGCCUCAAUCAGAAGAGAACCAAUCAUGAUCACUCACCAGACCAUAGUUUUCAACUUCAUCAAGACCGAACAGAGUGAAUGCAGGAAGAGAUUCUUCGUUCGACAUCCGAGCAAUCAACGCAAGAAAACUGGGUGGGGGCGAUAGAUUAUGAAAACAAAGAGAGAGAUUGAAGAGGGAAGAAGCAACACAGAGAGAGUAUAGUCGUGGACAGUUGAAUCCUCUCUCGACGUGUUUAUACUCUCUCCAAGCGCUUCUUCGUCUUUUUUUUUUCAA